rnacentral:lncRNA from 1 species
UCGGCCAUUCGAUCGGUAAAGACUCACCUCAACUUACAUGUGGGACCCGGUCGUGGUAAAGACUUCCUAUUUGAUCGGUAAUAGGUUCGACCCACGGGAGGAGCACGUCUUUCAUUUUAUUUUACCACCCUAUUUAUCAGCUUAAACUUACAUGUGGGAUCCUGGUUGAUUUAUGAUGUUUUCACGGAGCUUAUAUUGUCACAAAACCAUCAUGUAACAGCAAGUGAUGACUUAUUUUUGGCUACAGUGGCAACUUUUAUGACGUUCCG